GAUUUUGGGGUGUAGUGGUUUGAGUGUUGGACUACGACUCUGGAGACCAGGGUUCGAUUCCCUGCUCAGCCA